UACGUAAGGUCCGAGCGUUGUCCGGAAUUACUGGGCGUAAAGAGCUCGUAGGUGGUUUGUCGCGUUGUUCGUGAAAACUCACAGCUUAACUGUGGGCGUGCGGGCGAUACGGGCAGACUUGAGUACUGCAGGGGAGACUGGAAUUCCUGGUGUAGCGGUGGAAUGCGCAGAUAUCAGGAGGAACACCGGUGGCGAAGGCGGGUCUCUGGGCAGUAACUGACGCUGAAGCACGAAAGCGUGGGGAGCAAACAGG
rnacentral:rRNA from 1 species